rnacentral:rRNA from 1 species
AACGAACGCUGGCGGCAGGCUUAACACAUGCCAGUCGAACGCCCCGCAAGGGGAGUGGCAGACGGGUGAGUAACGCGUGGGAACAUACCCUUUUCUACGGAAUAGCUCUGGGAAACUGGAAUUAAUACCGUAUACGCCCUACGGGGGAAAGAUUUAUCGGGGAAGGAUUGGCCCGCGUUGGGUUAGCUAGUUGGUGGGGUAAAGGCCUACCAAGGCGACGAUCCAUAGCUGGUCUGAGAGGAUGAUCAGCCACAUUGGGACUGAGACACGGCCCAAACUCCUACGGGAGGCAGCAGUGGGGAAUAUUGGACAAUGGGCGCAAGCCUGAUCCAGCCAUGCCGCGUGAGUGAUGAAGGCCUUAGGGUUGUAAAGCUCUUUCACCGAUGAAGAUAAUGACGGUAGUCGGAGAAGAAGCCCCGGCUAACUUCGUG